CUUAUGAAUCUAACCCCUAUACUUGUAUAGGCGAUUAAUAAAUCUUCUGUAAAUGCUGUAAGAGGAUUACCCCUUGAGGUUUCAGCACUAGGCUGCUCUAGCGAUUAAUCAAUGCAUUUGUAUG
rnacentral:sRNA from 12 species